rnacentral:rRNA from 1 species
CACCCCUACGGGGCGCAGCAGUGGGGAAUAUUGCACAAUGGGGGAAACCCUGAUGCAGCGACGCCGCGUGAGUAAAGAAGUAAUUCGUUACGUAAAGCUCUAUCAGCAGGGAAGAGACACUGACCUUACGGUCAGCAGACGGUACCUGAGUAAGCAGCCCCGGCUAACUACGUGCCAGCAGCCGCGGUCAUACGUAGGGGGCAAGCGUUAUCCGGAUUUCGUGGGUGUAAAGGGAGCGUAGACGGUGCGCGAAGUCUGGAG